CAUCAAUGGCGAAGGCAACUUACUGGACAUUUACUGACGCUCAGACACGAAGGCUAGGGUAGCGAAAGGGAUUAGAUACCCCUGUAGUCCUAGCAGUAAACGGUGCUCGCUUGGUGUGGGAGGAUUCGACCCCUUCUGUGCCGGAGCUAACGCGUUAAGCGAGCCGCCUGGGAAGUACGGUCGCAAGACUAAAACUCAAAGAAAUUGACGGGGACCCGCACAAGCGGUGGAGUAUGUGGCUUAAUUCGAUGCAACGCGAAGAACCUUACCUAGGCUUGACAUGCUUGUCGUACUCUCCCGAAAAGGAGAGGUCACUUCGGGUGGACAAUGCACAGGUGCUGCAUGGCCGUCGUCAGCUCGUGUCGUGAGAUGUUUGGUUAAGUCCAGCAACGAGCGCAACCCCUGUGAACUGUUGCCAGCGCGUAAAGGCGGGGACUCUGUUCAGACUGCCCAGAUCAACUGGGAGGAAGGUGGGGACGACGUCAGGUCAGUAUGGCCCUUACGCCUAGGGCUGCACACGUACUACAAUGCCCAGCACAAUGAGAACCGAUACCGCGAGGUGGAGGAAAUCUGCAAAACUGGGCCCAGUUCGGAUUGGAGGCUGCAACUCGCCUCCAUGAAGUCGGAAUCGCUAGUAAUGCCGUAUCAGCUACGACGGCGUGAAUACGUUCCCGGGUCUUGUACACACCGCCCGUCACAUCAUGGAAGCCGGUCGCACCCGAAGUAUAUGCGCUAACUUUAUUGAAGCAGUAUCCUAAGGUGAGGCUGGUAACUGGGAUGAAGUCGUAACAAGGUAGCCGUAGGGGAACCUGCGGCUGGAUCACCUCCUUU
rnacentral:rRNA from 1 species